rnacentral:rRNA from 1 species
UACAGAGGGUGCAAGCGUUAAUCAGAAUUACUGGGUGUAAAGGGCGCGUAGGUGGUUAGUUAAGUAAGUUGUGAAAGCCCCGGGCUCAACCUGGGAAUGGCAACUUAAACUGGCUGGCUGGAGUACAUGAGAGGGUAGUGGAAUUUCCGGUGUAGCGGUGAAAUGCGUAGAUAUCGGAAGGAACACCAGUGGCGAAGGCGACUACCUGGCAUGAUACUGACACUGAGGCGCGAAAGCGUGGGGAGCAAACAGG